rnacentral:rRNA from 1 species
UGGACGCUGGCGGCGUGCCUAAUACAUGCAAGUCGAGCGAACAGACGAGGAGCUUGCUCCUCUGACGUUAGCGGCGGACGGGUGGGUAACACGUGGAUAACCUACCUAUAAGACUGGGAUAACUUCGGGAAACCGGAGCUAAUACCGGAUAAUAUAUUGAACCGCAUGGUUCAAUAGUGAAAGACGGUUUUGCUGUCACUUAUAGAUGGAUCCGCGCCGCAUUAGCUAGUUGGUAAGGUAACGGCUUACCAAGGCGACGAUGCGUAGCCGACCUGAGAGGGUGAUCGGCCACACUGGAACUGAGACACGGUCCAGACUCCUACGGGAGGCAGCAGUAGGGAAUCUUCCGCAAUGGGCGAAAGCCUGACGGAGCAACGCCGCGUGAGUGAUGAAGGUCUUCGGAUCGUAAAACUCUGUUAUUAGGGAAGAACAAAUGUGUAAGUAACUAUGCACGUCUUGACGGUACCUAAUCAGAAAGCCACGGCUAACUACGUG